rnacentral:rRNA from 1 species
UCAUAUGCUUGUCUUAAAGAUUAAGCCAUGCAUGUCUAAGUAUAAGCUUUUAUACGGCUAAACUGCGAAUGGCUCAUUAAAACAGUUAUAGUUUAUUUGAUGGUCUUUACUACAUGGAUAACCGUGGUAAUUCUAUGGCUAAUACAUGCGCACAUGCCUCUUCCCCUGGAAGGGCAGUGUUUAUUAGAUACAGAACCAACCCACCUUCCGGUGGUCCUCAGGUGAUUCAUAGUAACCGAACGGAUCGCGUUGACUUCGGUCUGCGACGGAUCAUUCAAGUUUCUGACCUAUCAGCUUUCGACGGUACUGUAUUGGACUGCCGUGGCAGUGACGGGUAACGGGGAAUUAGGGUUCGAUUCCGGAGAGGGAGCCUGAGAAACGGCUACCACAUCUAAGGAAGGCAGCAGGCGCGCAAAUUACCCAAUCCUGAUUCAGGGAGGUAGUGACAAGAAAUAACAACACUGGAAAUUUCAU